GGCUCCUUUUGGCCCCGGCCGGGCAGAGCCUGCCUGUGGCCAGGGCGGGGCGAGGCGCUCAGGCCCAGGGCUCUGCCCGCCGUCUCCGCGGAGCAGCGCGCAGGGCCGGCGCUAGCUGGGUGCCUAGGAGAUGGGUCAGGUGCCCGCUGGGCCGGGCGGCGGGGCGCGUCACCCCUGCCGCUUCCAUGUCUGCAGGAGAGGCGCUUUGCUAACGCGCCCCUGGGAGCCUCACGGAGCGGGGCUGCAGGCGAGGAGCCCUGCAAGCCCCACGAGUCCCUCACCCCAGCCAUUACGUAGCUUGUAUGAGCAGCCUGUGGGGGAACUGUGAAGCGGCCCUAAGGUGCUCAACACCUAGGGUGACCAGACAUCAAGAGUGAAAAAUCAGGACAGGGUAGAGAUGAUCCUGGAUACAGGAGAAGCCCUAGCACGUCCUUGUUUUCUCCCCUGAACACACCUCCCUCUGAUGAGCUACUGGAGAUUAGGAUGAUAGAGCAGGAAGGUAAGUGGUAAUACUCCCCUUUCUGCCCUCUUCUGAGCAUCCCUCCCCAAGCCACCUGUUCUCUAAGCAAUGCACAUAUAUAAAUGGAAGUUGAGUUCUUGAGGAGUAUACUCAAGCUAACAUUAGUUCAGUUUUUUUAAGUGAGUUAGCUGUAACUGUUGUAUCAUGUAACUUCAGUAGAAUGUGCUUUCUGUGCACAUUCUUGUGAACCAAGUGUUUGGCAGGAAUGUGUCACAGCACCUAUUACCAACUACUUAGUUGAAAUUGUAUUUUUAAUUCACAAGCAUAUAUUCACCCUGAAAGCCAGAUUCUAAGGAGUCAUGUUCAUUCAAUCAGGUAAACAUACCAUGCCCAAGUAUCGGUAGCAGAUGGUGAUAAUAUAAGAUGGAAUAGAAUCUGCAGGUUGCUCAUUAUAGCAUUUGCUCUGCAAGGCUAUUAGAAGUAAGAGUUUGGAAAUGGUACAUAUUACUUAAAUUAGCUUUUUAUAAGGCACCUUCCUGAAAAACAGCAAUAAAUAAGUGCUUUAAAGAACAGCAGUCAAAGAGCAGAAGUGCUGUUAUUUUGGGAAUGUAAAGACUUCUGCCUGGCCCCUGGACAUUUUGAAAAUUCAAAGCUGCAGAUUAGGGAAAUCCUUCACAGAUGUCACUCUUAUUUGAUGGUUUAAAUCUCUUUGGACUCUGACUGUAUCCAUUAGCUUUUUAUUGUUCUUUUAACCGGUAAAAAGCACAGUUGUCCAAAAGACAGUAUUUGUUCAUUCAGCACAUAAUGGAUUUACAUUAGCAAGUGUAUCUUUAUAGUUCUACAAGAUACAAGUAUUUUCUCUGUUUGGAAAUGGGAAAGUGAGGGACAGAACAGGCAUUACUUGGCCAAGGUCAAACAGGGAAUCUAGUAGAGCAAGGAAUUGAACCCAGAUUUCUGAAGUGCAGUUCAGUCCCUAAACCAUAAUUCUUCCUGUUUGUCACCCUUUACAUGCCACCCAUGGACCAUGAGAGCUGGUGCUGUUCUCAACAAAAGUCCCCGGAAAGCAAGACUCUCUCCUUGGGUUGAAAAAUCUAAGACACCCUCUUGUGAAAUUGGAGGGCUUUUGUGCUCAAACUCCCUCAGAACGGUGCUAAUAGUUGUGCUGGAGCAAAAACAAUUGGUCAGCAACAAAAACAGCAAAACCAUCUAUGCAGCAAGUUUAUAAAGCAGGGUGGAUGAAUUGUGAUUUAAUGAUAAUUUUUGUAUUUUACUUUUAAAAAAAUGGUAACCAUUAAAAUGUAUUGGAUUUACAACUAAA